rnacentral:tRNA from 4 species
GCCCCUGUAGCUCAGAGGAUAGAGCACCGGUUUCCUAAACCGGGUGUCCCGCGUUCGAGUCGCGGCAGGGGUACCA